rnacentral:rRNA from 1 species
UACGAAGGGUGCAAGCGUUACUCGGAAUUACUGGGCGUAAAGCGUGCGUAGGCGGUUUUAUAAGUCUGUCGUGAAAGCCCCCGGGCUCAACCCUCGAAUGCCGGUGGAUACUGUCGGACUAGAGUACGGAAGAGGCGAGUGGAAUUCCUGGUGUAGCGGGUGAAAUGCGUAGAUAUCGGGGAGGAACACCUGUGGCGAAGGCGGCCCCCUGGUUCGGAUGACUGACG